rnacentral:rRNA from 1 species
CGCGGCCUAUCAGCUUGUUGGUGGGGUGAUGGCCUACCAAGGCGGUGACGGGUAGCCGGCCUGAGAGGGUGGACGGCCACACUGGGACUGAGACACGGCCCAGACUCCUGCGGGAGGCAGCAGUGGGGGGUAUUGCGCAAUGGGCGGAAGCCUGACGCAGCGACGCCGCGUGAGGGACGGAGGCCUUCGGGUUGUGGACCUCUUUCGCCGGUGGAGAAGGCGCCCCCGUGUGGGGUGCUGACUGUAGCCGGGUUAAGAAGCGCCGGCUAACUACGUGCCAGCAGCCGCGGUAAUACGUAGGGCACGAGCGUUGUCUGGAGUUACUGGGCGUAAAGGGCUUGUAGGCGGCCGGUCGCGUCCGCCGUGAAAUCCCCUGGCUCAACCGGGGGCGUGCGGUGGGUACGGGCCGGCUUGAGUGCGGUAGGGGAGGCUGGAACUCCUGGUGUAGCGGUGGAAUGCGCAGAUAUCAGGAAGAACACCGGUGGCGAAGGCGGGUCUCUGGGCCGUUACUGACGCUGAGGAGCGAGAGCGUGGGGAGCGAACAGGAUUAGAUACCCUGGUAGUCCACGCCGUAAACGUUGGGCACUAGGUGUGGGGGGCCUCUUCCGGGUCGUCCGCGCCGUAGCUAACGCAUUAAGUGCCCCGCCUGGGGAGUACGG